rnacentral:rRNA from 1 species
UACGAAGGGGGCUAGCGUUGCUCGGAAUCACUGGGCGUAAAGGGCGCGUAGGCGGCCGUUCAAGUCGGGGGUGAAAGCCUGUGGCUCAACCACAGAAUGGCCCUCGAUACUGGAUGGCUCGGAGCACGGAAGAGGUUGGUGGAACUGCGAGUGUAGAGGUGAAAUUCGUAGAUAUUCGCAAGAACACCAGUGGCGAAGGCGGCCAACUGGUCCGGUUCUGACGCUGAGGCGCGAAAGCGUGGGGAGCAAACAGG